UUGCCAGACUCCUACGGGAGGCAGCAGUGGGGAAUAUUGCACAAUGGGCGAAAGCCUGAUGCAGCGACGCCGCGUGAGUGAAGAAGUAUUUCGGUAUGUAAAGCUCUAUCAGCAGGGAAGAAAAUGACGGUACCUGACUAAGAAGCCCCGACUAACUACGUGCCAGCAGCCGCGGUAAUACGUAGGGGGCAAGCGUUAUCCGGAUUUACUGGGUGUAAAGGGAGCGUAGACGGCGGAACAAGUCAGAAGUGAAAACCCGGGGCUCAACCCUGGGAGUGCUUUUGAAACUGUUUGGCUGGAGUGCAGGAGAGGUAAGCGGAAUUCCUAGUGUAGCGGUGAAAUGCGUAGAUAUUAGGAGGAACACCAGUGGCGAAGGCGGCUUACUGGACUGUAACUGACGUUGAGGCUCGAAAGCGUGGGGAGCAAACAGGAUUAGAUACCCCAGUAU
rnacentral:rRNA from 1 species